CCUACGGGAGGCAGCAGUGGGGAAUCUUGCACAAUGGAGGAAACUCUGAUGCAGCGAUGCCGCGUGAGUGAAGAAGGCCUUUGGGUUGUAAAGCUCUUUUGUAGGGGAAGAUAAUGACUGUACCCUAAGAAUAAGGUCCGGCUAACUUCGUGCCAGCAGCCGCGGUAAUACGAAGGGACCUAGCGUAGUUCGGAAUUACUGGGCGUAAAGCGCGCGUAGGCCGUUGAGUUAGUUAAUUGUGAAAUCCCAAAGCUUAACUUUGGAACUGCAAUUAAAACUGCUCGACUAGAGUUUGAUAGAGGAAAGCGGAAUACAUAGUGUAGAGGUGAAAUUCGUAGAUAUUAUGUAGAACACCAGUUGCGAAGGCGGCUUUCUGGAUCAACACUGACGCUGAGGCGCGAAAGUAUGGGUAGCAAAGAGGAUUAGAUACCCUCGUAGUCCAUACCAUAAACGAUGAUUGNUAGAUGUUAGGUAAAGUUUAAUUUUACUUAGUAUACGUCAGACUAACGACAUUAAGUACAAUACCGCCGUCGGGGUAGGUAACGGACCCGGACCGAAACGGUUAAAAACCGUUAACCUAAACUAAGAAGUUAGUACGGCGUGUAGACGUAGCCGAACGGACGACGACGAGGGAAGGUAGG
rnacentral:rRNA from 1 species